CACCCCGCCACCACCCCGUUCACCCCAUCCCCUUCACCUCCCCUGCCGUCACCACGGCCGCCAUUUCCACCUCCGUCCUCUUCACUGCGGCAAUCCCCGCCCCCCCAUCUCCGUGGCCGCAAUCACCCCCACUACCCUCUCUCUCCCCUGCAUUCCCAUCCGUUCUCACCUGCACAGCUGUGCCGCCGUUGCCCCUGACGUCGCCUGAGUCGCCGUCACCUGAGCCAUCAUCACCACCACCCCCUUCAACCCAUCCCCUUCACCUCCCCUGCCGUCACCACGGCCGCCAUUUCCACCUCCUUCCUCUUCACUGCGGCAAUCCCCGGCCCCCCAUCUCCGUGACCUCUCUCCCCUGCAUUCCCAUCCGUUCUCACCUGCACCUCCGUCGCCAACCGUUCCUUCUUCAGUGGCAACAAUACGGAUCUCCACCUCUCCAUCCGCCCCAAUGUGUCCAGGUGAUCCGUCACCUGGGAAUAGCAGGGCAUACGUCCACGACACCAUGAAGGGUUCAUCGUCAUCCCCGCAGUCGCAUGUGAUCACAUGAUGGCAGCUCCGGUGACGGCGACUCAGGCCACGUCAUUGGCAACAUGACGCG
rnacentral:lncRNA from 1 species